UACGUAGGGUACGAGCGUUGUCCGGAAUUACUGGGCGUAAAGAGCUUGUAGGCGGCUUGUCGCGUCGUCCGUGAAAACCCACAGCUCAACUGUGGGCUUGCGGUCGAUACGGGCAGACUAGAGUGCGGUAGGGGAGACUGGAAUUCCUGGUGUAGCGGUGAAAUGCGCAGAUAUCAGGAGGAACACCGGUGGCGAAGGCGGGUCUCUGGGCCGUAACUGACGCUGAGGAGCGAAAGCGUGGGGAGCGAACAGG
rnacentral:rRNA from 1 species